GACGAACGCUGGCGGCGUGCUUAACACAUGCAAGUCGAACGGAAAGGCCCUGCUUUUGUGGGGUGCUCGAGUGGCGAACGGGUGAGUAACACGUGAGUAACCUGCCCUUGACUUUGGGAUAACUUCAGGAAACUGGGGCUAAUACCGGAUAGGAGCGCCUGCUGCAUGGUGGGGGUUGGAAAGUUUCGGCGGUUGGGGAUGGACUCGCGGCUUAUCAGCUUGUUGGUGGGGUAGUGGCUUACCAAGGCUUUGACGGGUAGCCGGCCUGAGAGGGUGACCGGCCACAUUGGGACUGAGGUACGGCGCAGACUCCUACGGGGGGCAGCAGUGGGGAAUAUUGCACAACGGGCGGAAGCCUGAUGCAGCAACGCCGCGUGCGGGAUGACGGCCUUCGGGUUGUAAACAGCUUUCGCCUGUGACGAAGCGUGAGUGACGGUAAUGGGUAAAGAAGCACCGGCUAACUACGUG
rnacentral:rRNA from 1 species